AGUAUUUAUUCAAAUUCGAAUUAUGAAAAUUAUAAUAUUCAAAAAUUUAUUUAUAUAGCGUAGAAGUAAAGAGAAUGGAGUUUGUUAUUAAAUAUUUUUCUUUUCGCUUUCGAUCGAAGAAAUUUUCACUCAAAUCUUUGCAAAAUAAAAUAAAUUCGAUUACAAUUAAUCGAGAAAAUAAUAAUAAUAAUUACCAAGAUAAUCCUUAUUGGCGUGAAAGUUUCUUCGUCGCAAAAAUCGAGCUAAUAUUUUUUUUAUCGACACAAAACAUUCUUCUUUGAUUAAACACAUCGGGCGUCUUGACGGCGUCGAACGGAGAAAGGAAAAAAAAAAAGAAAAAGGAAACACGACCAACUUUAAUAUCGAAGCCAAGUGACGCACGUUGAUGCGAGAGAGCUCUCCUCUCCUUUAAAAAAUAAUCCGUGUCUUGAAUUAGAAACUCGCUCAAUCGUUCUCUGACGGGUUACUGAGAAAACGCACACGCUUCCACAAGGAUUGAAAUUGCUUCUCUACGUGUAUAGAAUCGAUAAUAUCACUUGUAAAUAUAAAUGAUGGAAAAUAUUUUUUUCAACGAUGCUUUGAGAAGUUAAUCAUUUGAUAAAUUUGAUGGAACAAAUACAAUGUUACAAUAUAGUUUUACAGUACAAAAAUGAUGAAAAAUAUUCUUUUCAAUGAUGCUUUGAUUAUUGAGGUAUUGAAUAUCAUCAUAA